rnacentral:lncRNA from 1 species
UCUCAAGACCACUAUGCUGCUAAAAGAAAUAUUUAUUGCUGUAAAUUAUAUGGUAAUCUAAAUGAAUACUUAGUAAACUAUUUCUAAAUAAAAUAUAAUAAAAAAUAAGGAUAUAAUAACUUCGCUUUCAGAUAUUUCUUUUGAAAAUUCAUCUGUCAAUCUUAUUGCUCAUUUGAAGGAUACUAGCAUGAAGAUUUGUGACCUAUCCUGGGCUUUGAUCAGGAAUAAGAGACAAAAAGGCAGAGAAUACUGAAGACAUGAGAGUCAUAGCAACAACCUUGGCGAUACGGCAACAUUAUAUCCGUCAAGUCUGCCAGCACUGUUACCAUUCCAGCAGGGACACUAAGUGUCUAGUGUCCUUAAUUUGGGGGCAGCUGAAUCUAGUGCUCCGAGGUCUAAGCAGUGGUGGUUCCCUAGGCUGAUCCCAUGACAUAUUUUCCUUGUGGUUCUGAAGCUGAGAAGACUUUAAACUACUCUCAACAUUUGCAGCAGUUUGGUGAGACCUCUAGUAAACUCACAAAUGCUGCCCAUUGGAGAGGGAGCGAACGACAUUUCAAUGCUAUUUUAAUUUUAAUUUAAUUGAAAAUUGAAAUGUGCUAACAUCAUCUCUAGUUUAUAACUGAGGAAACGCACGUGUAAAAAUAUAAAGUGAUUGUCCCACAUACUAUAGUGAAUGAGAGUGGAGCUGUGAUUUCAACCCAAGAGCCUGACUGCAGAGCG